rnacentral:rRNA from 1 species
CAAUUUGGGGUCGCUUGCAUUCAUGAUUUACAUUUCGAGUGAGUGGCGAACUGGUGAGUAACACGUGGGAAACCUGCCCAGAAGCGGGGGAUAACACCUGGAAACAGAUGCUAAUACCGCAUAACAACUUGGACCGCAUGGUCCGAGUUUGAAAGAUGGCUUCGGCUAUCACUUUUGGAUGGUCCCGCGGCGUAUUAGCUAGAUGGUGGGGUAACGGCUCACCAUGGCAAUGAUACGUAGCCGACCUGAGAGGGUAAUCGGCCACAUUGGGACUGAGACACGGCCCAAACUCCUACGGGAGGCAGCAGUAGGGAAUCUUCCACAAUGGACGAAAGUCUGAUGGAGCAACGCCGCGUGAGUGAAGAAGGGUUUCGGCUCGUAAAACUCUGUUGUUAAAGAAGAACAUAUCUGAGAGUAACUGUUCAGGUAUUGACGGUAUUUAACCAGAAAGCCACGGCUAACUACGUGCCAGCAGCCGCGGUAAUACGUAGGUGGCAAGCGUUGUCCGGAUUUAUUGGGCGUAAAGCGAGCGCAGGCGGUUUUUUAAGUCUGAUGUGAAAGCCUUCGGCUCAACCGAAGAAGUGCAUCGGAAACUGGGAAACUUGAGUGCAGAAGAGGACAGUGGAACUCCAUGUGUAGCGGUGAAAUGCGUAGAUAUAUGGAAGAACACCAGUGGCGAAGGCGGCUGUCUGGUCUGUAACUGACGCUGAGGCUCGAAAGUAUGGGUAGCAAACAGGAUUAGAUACCCUGGUAGUCCAUACCGUAAACGAUGAAUGCUAAGUGUUGGAGGGUUUCCGCCCUUCAGUGCUGCAGCUAACGCAUUAAGCAUUCCGCCUGGGGAGUACGGCCGCAAGGCUGAAACUCAAAGGAAUUGACGGGGGCCCGCCACAGCGGUGGAGCAUGUGGUUUUAUUCGAAGCUACGCGAAGAACCUUACCAGGUCUUGACAUACUAUGCAAUCUAAGAGAUUAGACGUUCCCUUCGGGGACAUGGAUACAGGUGGUGCAUGGUUGUCGUCAGCUCGUGUCGUGAGAUGUUGGGUUAAGUCCCGCAACGAGCGCAACCCUUAUUAUCAGUUGCCAGCAUUAAGUUGGGCACUCUGGUGAGACUGCCGGUGACAAACCGGAGGAAGGUGGGGAUGACGUCAAAUCAUCAUGCCCCUUAUGACCUGGGCUACACACGUGCUACAAUGGAUGGUACAACGAGUUGCGAACUCGCGAGAGUAAGCUAAUCUCUUAAAGCCAUUCUCAGUUCGGAUUGUAGGCUGCAACUCGCCUACAUGAAGUCGGAAUCGCUAGUAAUCGCGGAUCAGCAUGCCGCGGUGAAUACGUUCCCGGGCCUUGUACACACCGCCCGUCACACCAAUGGAAGAGGUUUUUGGUUAG